GACGAACGCUGGCGGCGUGCUUAACACAUGCAAGUCGAACGGAAAGGCCCUGCUUUUGUGGGGUGAUCGAGUGGCGAACGGGUGAGUAACACGUGAGUAACCUGCUCUUGACUUUGGGAUAACUUCAGGAAACUGGGGCUAAUACCGGAUCGGAGCUCCUGCUGCAUGGUGGGGGUUGGAAAGUUUCGGCGGUUGGGGAUGGACUCGCGGCUUAUCAGCUUGUUGGUGGGGUAGUGGCUUACCAAGGCUUUGACGGGUAGCCGGCCUGAGAGGGUGACCGGCCACAAUGGGACUGAGAUACGGCCCAGAGUCCUACGUGAGGCAGCAGUGGGGAAUAUUGCACAAUGGGCGGAAGCCUGAUGCAGCAACGCCGCGUGCGGGAUGACGGCCUUCGGGUUGUAAACCGCUUUCGCCUGUGACGAAGCGGGAGUGACGGUAAUGGGUAAAGAAGCACCGGCUAACUACGUG
rnacentral:rRNA from 1 species